rnacentral:tRNA from 1 species
GGGGGCGUAGCGCAGCUAGAACGGCCAUACGUGGUAAAGUAGCGCGGCUGGCUCCAGAAGCAAUGAGAGCAAACUGGUGCGCUGACCGAAGAAUGAUAAGUCCCACCGCCCCCA